rnacentral:rRNA from 1 species
CCUACGGGUGGCAGCAGUGGGGAAUAUUGCACAAUGGGGGAAACCCUGAUGCAGCGACGCCGCGUGAGUGAAGAAGUAUCUCGGUACGUUAAGCUCUAUCAGUAGGGAAGCAAAUGACGGUACCUGACUCAGAAGCCCCGGCGAACUACGUGCCAGCAGCCGCGGUAAUCCGUCGGGGGCCAGCGUUAUCCGGAUUUACUGGGUGUAAAGGGAGCGUAGACGGCAGCACAAGGCUGGAGUGAAAUCCCGGGGCUUAACCCCGGAACUGCUGUGGAAACUGUGCGGCUGGAGUGCAGGAGGGGUAAGCGGAAUUCCUAGUGUAGCGGUGAAAUGCGUAGAUAUUAGGAAGAACACCGGUGGCGAAGGUGGCUUACUGGACUGUAACUGACGUUGAGGCUCGAAAGCGUGGGGAGCAAACAGGAUUAGAUACCCGAGUAGUC